rnacentral:tRNA from 1 species
GUUUUUUUAGUAUAAACAGUAUAUUUGACUUCCAAUCAAAAGGACUUAUAUUAAGAAAAAACA